rnacentral:misc_RNA from 1 species
UUUUUUUUUUUUUUUUUGGGUCUUCUUCAGAUAACUAAGUUCAUUCAUACAACAUCAACGGACUGAAGGGUUAAGGCUAACAGUUAAAAUCAGGAUCGUAGUCACCUUUUUCGCCAUCUUUACUAACUAGUGAAGAUAUUGGGCUUGGUACUGGUAGCCAUUUCCAAAGUAGUUGCCAUGACUGGGAGAGAAGUUGUAAGUAGCAGAACCCAUUAGAGGGGGAACAUGAUUUUCAGUGGGUCCAGGGUAAACAUAUGGUCUGUCAUACACGUACUGCGGGUACCUAUCAGUGACUCUAGGAUAGAAUGUUUUGUCAGCAGUAACGUUAGUGACACGGGGCCCACAUCCAACACCAUUAGCACGUGGUCUCUUGGGUUGAGGCUUCGCAACUUCAGUUGCUCUUUUCUUGUCUGCCUUGGCCUUCUCCAGCUGAAUAAGGCGCUUUUGCAGUGGGUCAACAGGAUACUGCUCCUCAAGCUUAUGCUCUUCAAUGCACUUUAUCACAGCCUUAAGGGCAGUCAGCUCUCGCUCAUUGACAUCAUUCUGAAACAAAAUAAAAUAAUAAAAUUUACAAGUGACACACAAAUGCAUUCACCAAGAACACUGUUCAUUAUGCAACCUCAUUGAACAUCAGCAAUGGGCAGAACUCUAAUAGAUCUCCUCUGAUAUAAAUAAUGUUCACAAAAGGAAGCAAAUGUAUAACCUUCAUGUAGGAAGAAAAGCUACCAUAUCAAGUAAGCUUAAAUCAAGUGAACACUCAAAGGCUUGAGAAGUGCCCCAAAACCCUGUGAACUGACAUAAAUUAUAAGAACGUUGCCAAUUCAGCUACUUUAGGUUUUGAUACUUCUCUGGGUUUAGCAUAUUCCCCCCUUUUCUUACUCUCCACCUGUAUUCAACCUUGUUCUAUGGUUUGCCUCUUGUAACUAUUCCAAAACUACAAGGAUUAUAUGAUUACCACUUACCACCAAUCUGAAUGCAUAUAAGACCUCAAAAAGAAACAGAACUUUUAAGCGACAAGGUCUAGCAAGAUAUUUAGUGGUAAGGAUCAAGGGCAUGGUGGAUAUUUGUGUUCAAUACGGAAGCAAGAAUGCAAAUGCAAACAAGCAUGUGCAUGAUAUACCUAAAAAGAUAACAUAUAGUUUCGGGAGAAACUGUUCUUGAAUAUCUACAAACUUUAUUAGCCUUCUAUCUUUUACACACACAAUUACCAUUCACUCUAGGGAUAAUAAGCAUCAUAGUUCUCUACAAUUAUUUGGAUUGGGCUGGGCUUAGCAUUAAAAUCCAUACGAAUGAUAUAACUUCCUAGUAGGAAUUGUCAAAAAGCACAUUAUAAUGACACAAACAAUUAAUUAUACUAUAGUUGACAGUUGAGGCAAAUUACACACCUGCACAAUGCAGCAAACGCCACGUUGUAAGGAGAGGAUAAUUCAAUGAGUAGAAAGUACAUACCUGCACAGCAGUUGGUGAUGCAUUUCCAGGUUUGACAGGUGAAGAAAUUUUUCUUGCCUCUUUCAAGUAUGAUUUGAGUAAAGGUACAGGUGAAAACUGUUCUGUUAACUCAAAAGCAAAAGCCAAGUUAACUGCAUCAAUUUGCCUACCACUAUUGACCAGUACUUCAAUAACACCUGGCAUCUUCUCUGACAACCCAAGAAAACGACAGAGUACAGCAGCUUGGCGACGACGAGAAACCAUUGGAAUUAGCCUGGAUAGUUCUUCUUCAUCAAAAUCAGAAGCGAUGCCAAAGGUGGCCAGAAGUUGCAAGAAAGCAUGUGCCUCCAAGGAGUUCCCAUUGCUAGCAUCCACAUCUAGAUCAUCCAACUUGGGUUUCCAUUCUUCAGCAAUUGCCUUUGCCUGCUCCUUAAUAUCUUCUGAUAUUACAUCAGAAAUAGAAACUAGAUCUGUAUACGUAAGCAAAAUGCUAAGGCACUCCAUCAACAUGAUACAGGUUCGACGAAGACCCAAUAGGCCUGAAUCUUUCUUUCCAUCAAAGUUUGGCACUUCCAUUGGAUAGAAAUCAUCCAAAGAGUUCAAGACCAGUUGGGCUGGGUUUUCUGCAGCUUUUAAAGCAAGUGGAAUUUCCUCCCUCAGGACAGCAAGGUUCUUUCGAUUGUCUGAUAUAAAUUUGUGCAGCCCUUCCGAGUCCAUUGCUUCACAUAAUUUGACCAACUCUGGAUAAGAUAUCACCUCGAUAUUUCCAUUUUCAGAAGAAUUAUUACUCUCUCCCAAAUUACUUUCAGCAGCCAUAGUAUCAGGUGGCUGGUCUUCAAUAGUUGGGAGCUCACCUUGGACAUCACUGGUCACAACAGCAGGUUCCACAGAUGAUACCUUCCUGUGCUUCUCUAGAGCAUUAGUAAUGGCAAAGACAGCAGCAUCUCGUUUCUCUUGGAGCCUCUUCAGUGAAGCUUGUUCCUUGGCCAUCACAGCAGCUUCCCGCUUCUCCAACAUUUCUUGGGCUUUUCUUGUUUUGGUUUCAUACUCCCUUUCCUGGUCUUCCAACUCAUGAAAGCGCCUUUUCAAGGAUCUUUCAAGCCCAUGGAAAUGUUCUUCGAGUUCUUUCCAUUUCAAGUUGAGUGUUACAGCCCGGUGACUUUCAAGUUCAGCAAAUGCUUUCUGAAGCUGUUGUAUCCUAGAGGUCGUGGAGUCCAUAAGUGUUACAACUGAUUCUGGAUCUUCCAUGGCAGAAUAGCACUGGCUUGACUAGCUUGAAUACACCAAAACCCUAGAUCGAGAAAAUUAGAAAAACAAGACGACUGAAACCCUGAAGAUAGAGAGCAAAACCAUCAGAAAAGCAAACCUGAAGAUAAUACAAACACAAAAAAGAAGCCACUUAAACCAACAAUCUAGAACACAGGAAAUCCAAUAGAAGUAAAAAUUUAUUUUCAAGGCAAGUACUUCCCGAGAAAUAUUCCCCAAUAACUGCAUCCAAGAACCCAGUGUGAAAAUUGGAGAAAAUCAUAGCAAAAUGGGAGCUAAUUUUGGAGUAAAACCACAAGGCCGAUCUAGAAAGAAGAUAAAAAAUUGAAAGAAAUGAUAAAGAAAUUAGCUAAAACAGAGGCAUACCUGAGUGAUUCGAGCAAAAUAUAAGACAAAAACGUCGAAAUUGAGCAGGGAAACGAUCAAUCCAUGGCGGAUUGGGUAGUGUUUGUGUGUGGCUGCUACUCUACAAUCCCUA